rnacentral:rRNA from 1 species
CCUACGGGGGGCAGCAGUGGGGAAUAUUGGUCAAUGGACGAGAGUCUGAACCAGUCAAGUAGCGUGAAGGAUGACUGCCCUAUGGGUUGUAAACUUCUUUUAUAUGGGAAUAAAAUGUUCCACGUGUGGGAUUUUGUAUGUACCAUAUGAAUAAGGAUCGGCUAACUCCGUGCCAGCAGCCGCGGUAAUACGGAGGAUCCGAGCGUUAUCCGGAUUUAUUGGGUUUAAAGGGAGCGUAGGUGGAUUGUUAAGUCAGUUGUGAAAGUUUGCGGCUCAACCGUAAAAUUGCAGUUGAAACUGGCAGUCUUGAGUACAGUAGAGGUGGGCGGAAUUCGUGGUGUAGCGGUGAAAUGCUUAGAUAUCACGAAGAACUCCGAUUGCGAAGGCAGUUCACUGGACUGCAACUGACACUGAGGCUCGAAAGUGUGGGUAUCAAACAGGAUUAGAUACCCUUGUAGUC